rnacentral:lncRNA from 1 species
CCAAAGUUGUUCCCUUAAGACUGGCAAUCCUAUCGAAGAGUGAGUUGAUCUGCUACUGCCUGUGCCACCGGACAGGCCCAGAAGUGAUGACAGCGAGGGGAUACACUCCCAGGGAAUGUAUUGGAUCACCUCCACAACCACACACUGCUGGCCGCGACAUGCUGAGAUGGGAACUUCCUAACAUAGGCACCCCUAAAUUGUGGAGCAGAAACCACCAGUCAGGACCCGACUGGUUCUCAAGGCAGAGGGCUGCAAAGAUGGGGGGUUGGGGGCAGGUACUGGCCAGGCGGGAUGGGGAAUAGGGUGACGACGUCAGGAUGGGAUGCGGGGCCCAAGGCAAGGAUAGGCGUGCUACACUGCUUUUAGGAUGGGGGUUGCUGUCGG